UACGGAGGGUGCAAGCGUUAUCCGGAUUCACUGGGUUUAAAGGGUGCGUAGGCGGGUAUAUAAGUCAGUGGUGAAAGCUCCGGGCUUAACUUGGAAACUGCCAUUGAUACUGUAUAUCUUGAAUAUCGUAGAGGUUAGCGGAAUGUUGCAUGUAGCGGUGAAAUGCUUAGAUAUGUUACAGAACACCAAUUGCGAAGGCAGCUAACUAUGCGAUGAUUGACGCUGAGGCGCGAAAGCGUGGGAGCGAACAGG
rnacentral:rRNA from 1 species